ACCACCUGGUAACAUUCCCAAUUGUGUGAAUGGAUGAAGCUGUGAACUCUUGUGUUUUGCGGAAGAGUUUUUAUCUGGCUACUAAAGUGGUUUUUGGAGAAUAGAGAUUAAAUGAAUACCGCAUCUCUGACCAAGGCAACAUGAUGUCUGGGACUACAGUCAAAUGGUGAAUCAUCUCAGAUGUUAACAGUAUUUGUCUCUCUGUAAAGUAACCAGGGAACAAGGGUAAGAUGAGCAUGUACUUUUUAC